rnacentral:rRNA from 1 species
UACGUAGGGGGCAAGCGUUGUCCGGAUUUAUUGGGCGUAAAGCGCGUGUAGGCGGCUGGGUAGGUCCGCUGUGAAAACUCGAGGCUCAACCUCGAGACGUCGGCGGAAACCAUCCAGCUAGAGUCCGGAAGAGGAGAGUGGAAUUCCUGGUGUAGCGGUGAAAUGCGCAGAUAUCAGGAAGAACACCCGUGGCGAAAGCGGCUCUCUGGGACGGUACUGACGCUGAGACGCGAAAAGCGUGGGGAGCGAACAGG